CAGCCCAGGGGCGAUGUCUGUGGAGAAGGGGCUUCUGUUAAGAUCUCUGCUUUCCCAAGAUCAUCACUCCUAGCCUCCUCUGGAAACUCAGAGCCGAGGACCUGGCGUACCACUUACAGAGGCCUGCACGGGCACAGGGUUGAGACCUGGGCAGUUUCAGUUGUGUGAAAGUCUCUCCGAUUGCACCACACAGUUUACAAAUUGUGAACCAAACCAUCAGGUGUGUUCUUCGCUUAGAUGGGAUACUAGAGUCAUUCCACGGAGGCUACGGAGAAAAGUGAAGAUCAAGACGUUGUGACAAUGCCCCGGCACACCCCCAACUGACCUAGGACCUCCCACUAGGUCCCACCGCCUCCCGGUACCGCUAUCCUGGGCACCAAGCCUCCAUCACAGGACCUGUGCGGAACAAGCUACAUCCAAACCACAGCUGCGGUCACGGAUCAUUACAACAAAGCCGUCCACGGCAGUGAGGACAAGGUCAUAACGUAGGGCAGAGAGAGUGAAAAUAAAAAGCGAUGGAUUCCAAGAGUUUAAUGGGAUUGGCUGAUUUGUGAGGAAGGCACCAGGGAACCCAGACAGCAAUAGCUGACCCGGGUCAUAGUUGCUUUCCUUGCCAGGGCCACCUUGCAUGUGUUAUCUCAUUUACGUAUGUAUUUAUUUUAUUUGAAAGGCAGAGAAAGAGAUAUCUCCCAUCUACCAGUUCACUCCCC